rnacentral:rRNA from 1 species
UACGAAGGGGGCUAGCGUUGUUCGGAAUUACUGGGCGUAAAGCGCACGUAGGCGGGUCGUUAAGUCAGGGGUGAAAUCCCGGAGCUCAACUCCGGAACUGCCUUUGAUACUGGCGAUCUAGAGGUCGAGAGAGGUGAGUGGAAUUCCACGUGUAGCGGUGAAAUGCGUAGAGAUGUGGAGGAACACCAGUGGCGAAGGCGACUCUUUGGCCUGUAACUGACGCUGAGGCGCGAAAGCGUGGGGAGCAAACAGG